AACUAUCAAAAAUAUUUUGGAGGGUAACUAAACUAUUGUAAAUAAACAAAAUCAAAGAUUUGAAGUUUGUGAGGUUUGAAGUUGCCUUCAAAAUUGAUGUUAAUAAAUAUCUUCUUUGAUUUUCAAUUCACUUAUUUUCAACCUAUCUUUUCCAAUAUAAAAGCAAUAAAAUCACUUGUAGAUUGGGUCUAUAUAUGUAUUUUUUAAUAUUUAAUACGAGUGCUAAUUCUUUCAUUAAUUUAAUUUUUUAAAUUUGUUCAAACGUGCAGCUGUUGCUUAAUAUGUUGGGA
rnacentral:misc_RNA from 1 species